CGUAAAUGAGUACUUGCACGUACGUCAGUGUCGUAGCAAUAAGUCGAACCUUUAGUGGACGAAUCGGGUGACAUAUCCUCCAUUUUUUCGUGCGAAAUUUCUACAAAGUUGGUGGUCCUGCUGGUAAACGAGAUGGUAUAAUGUGGUAUUAAGGUUGGGAAAAUCUGCUACAAAGGUAAUUAUGCGGAUAAUACCGAUUUUCUGUUAUGAUUAUGAUCAGGUUCAGUGUUAAAUGUUCCAUAAGUUACUUGUGCUGUGUGCUGAUAUAUUUGGACUGCAGUUGUGCUUCACAGAUGGCUGGUAUUACCAUGAACUUCCCGGGGGGACAUUUCAUGGUUACUGUUCGGAGGUGGAAAGGCAAUGUUGUCGGUGAGAACAGCAAAUUUAUACAUUUGAUUGAAUACAUGAAGAAGUGAUGCUGUAUCAGUUGCAGCACAUUUGGUAUACAGAUCGCAUCUCUUUGUCAUAGGGCAACAAGAUUAUAUAUGAGGCAAGGAUAUUCUGGCUACAGUACAUUUCAGCAUUUCACAAACAUAGCAAAUUGAACAGGUGAUGUUCACCAUUCAAAUAUUACAUUGCUGAAUACAAAGGACCAAGCUUCCCAGAGGUAUGUGGAGGAUGAAGCUCAUGGCCUCUGAGACCCAUCAGGAAGAAUGUCAGAUGUUAGAGACCAGGGAUCCAGAAAAAUGUGCAUCAAAUUCAUCUCAUGACAUGGGGUCACUGGUUGUCUUGUGACAUCCUUGAGAUAUGACUUACCUGAUCAUGAGAGAUUAAAGUUCCGCUCUGCUUCCACUCCUGCAGAAACACAUAGUACAAGAGGAUUCAUCAACAAAAAUAUAAACCAGACACGUGCAUAACAGCAGCAUGAUAAUGCAAUAUAACCUAGAAUGUUCUUAGGCAUUUACAAAAAAGCAAGGCAGAACAACAUCACAGCAAAGCAGCAGAUUCCUUCAUCACAACAUGUUACACACCUGAUGACAGCCAGUUAGGCUGAAACUCAUUGGUGACCUUUUCUCCUAGAAUUUGCAACAGGCAGGAACUGUUUCUCUUUUGCCUUUGCAUUCCUGUCACAUGUAGUGGUUCACAGUGCUUAGUUCUUUGUGGUGUAGUUUGCAGGCUGUGAAGUUAUAAGUAGCCAAUGUGAACUUAGAAAACCAAUUCAUCUCCCAUGGGCAUCACUAGAGUCACCUUAAGUCCAAGCAUGCUGCAAUGAAUACUUUAAUUGUCAUAGCUGUUCCCUUACCUGCUCAAGUUCUCCUUCAAGUGUCUAUAGUAGUCUUCUGGAAGGAUUUUCUUUUCUUCACUGUUUGAGUUUUCAUAAGCAACACAACAAUUUAACUAUUUAUUUUGUGUAAAAAAUACAUAAUUAAACAUUCUGGUUUAUGUUUUAAGAUUAAUGUGAAGCUGACUAUUGUUUUUACCAUUCAUUUUUGCAGUUGGGUGAUUUUUUUAUUUAUUUAUUUAUUUACAUUUAUACAUUCCGUUGAUCCUUAUGGUACAGCUGACCAGUGGAUAUGGAUUUUGUCCCAAGCUAAUAGAUUAAAAUGCGCAAAAUACAAAAACUACAUACAUACUUUUGUCAUUGAGACAGUUAAAAGAUUUAUAUUAGUGUACAAUGCAUAAAAUGAUCAAAAUUAUAAAACAAUAAUUGAUACAAAAUAUUUAGGUAAUGAUAUAAAAUUAUAACAUAUC